rnacentral:rRNA from 1 species
GAUGAACGCUAGCGGGAGGCUUAAUACAUGCAAGUCGAGGGGUAACAGGGGCUUCGGCCCGCUGACGACCGGCGCACGGGUGAGUAACGCGUACGCAACUUACCUCCAAGCGAGGGAUAGCCCCUGGGAAACUGGGAUUAAUACCUCAUGUGAUUAUGAUGCCGCAUGGUGUUAUAAUUAAAGUUCAGGCGCUUGGAGAUGGGCGUGCGUCCUAUUAGCUAGUUGGUGAGGUAACGGCUCACCAAGGCGACGAUAGGUAGGGGGCGUGAGAGCGUGGCCCCCCACACGGGUACUGAGACACGGACCCGACUCCUACGGGAGGCAGCAGUAAGGAAUAUUGGACAAUGGGCGCAAGCCUGAUCCAGCCAUCCCGCGUGCAGGAUGACAGCCC